rnacentral:tRNA from 1 species
CAGUGUAUAGCUUAAUGGCUAAAGUACCUGGCUUCCAACCAGGGGAUGCGGUUCGAAUCCGAUACACUGCUCA